rnacentral:hammerhead_ribozyme from 1 species
GGAGUUGAAGAGUCCCACAAUAGAACGAAACGGCCGUCCAGUAC